CUAGGCAACUGAAACGGUUUCAUUCUCUUAUUUCUUUGUAGGUUAUUUAUUCUGGGGCCUUCUUGCUGGACUGAUCUUCGCGGCCGGGAUUCUCAUUGGCCAGGCCGUGUGUCUGUGUCUGCGCCGUCGCCAUAGGGAUGAAGGGAGUGCAAGGACUCCACAGCAAGGACCACCGGCGGCAGACCAAGACAGGCAGCCCGACAUCGAGUCCCCUUACCUGAACCCUCGAGUCUUGUCUCACAGGGAGCCCGAACCAUCAGACUGCACGUCCUCUGGUUCUGAACAUGUCUACGAAGAGGUGGAUGAGGACGCCUUCUUGUCUGAAUGAGAGCUUCAUCCAACUCAGGCUUGUUUCCAUUCAGAGUAAACAGAGAGACAUGAAGGAAAGGAUUACAAGACUAGGUAUUUUGUAUUUGGAUUCAGGAUCAAGUUCAAAUUUUAUUUCUGUCAUUCAUUUGUUUGUUUUCUAAUGACCAUGAUUGUCUCAUCUAAGACUAGAAUAGUGCUGAUACACUGCAAACUUUAUCCUCUUCUGUAUAACAUAUUUAUACACAUUACUGGUUAACAUAGAUGAAUGAAUAACCGAUAAA